rnacentral:rRNA from 1 species
AGCGAACGCUGGCGGCAGGCCUAACACAUGCAAGUCGAGCGCCCAGCAAUGGGAGCGGCAGACGGGUGAGUAACGCGUGGGGAUGUGCCCAAUGGUGCGGAAUAACCCAGUGAAACUUGGAUUAAUACCGCAUGUGCCCUUCGGGGGAAAGAUUUAUCGCCAUUGGAUCAACCCGCGUCUGAUUAGCUAGUUGGUGAGGUAAAGGCUCACCAAGGCGACGAUCAGUAGCUGGUCUGAGAGGAUGAUCAGCCACACUGGGACUGAGACACGGCCCAGACUCCUACGGGAGGCAGCAGUGGGGAAUAUUGGACAAUGGGCGCAAGCCUGAUCCAGCCAUGCCGCGUGAGUGAUGAAGGCCUUAGGGUUGUAAAGCUCUUUCGCCGGUGAAGAUAAUGACGGUAACCGGAGAAGAAGCCCCGGCUAACUACGUGCCAGCAGCCGCCGUAA